GCGAGUGAGCGGCAAAAGCUCAAAUUUGAAAUCUGGUACCUUUGGUGCCCGAGUUGUAAUUUGGAGAGUACCACUUUGGGACUGUACUUUGCCUAUGUUCCUUGGAACAGGACGUCAUGGAGGGUGAGAAUCCCGUGUGGCGAGGGUGUCAGUUCUUUGUAAAGGGUGCUCGAAGAGUCGAGUUGUUUGGGAAUGCAGCUCUAAGUGGGUGGUAAAUUCCAUCUAAAGCUAAAUACAGGCGAGAGACCGAUAGCGAACAAGUACAGUGAUGGAAAGAUGAAAAGAACUUUGAAAAGAGAGUGAAAAAGUACGUGAAAUUGUUGAAAGGGAAGGGCAUUUGAUCAGACAUGGUGUUUUGCGCCCCUUGCCUCUCGUGGGCUUGGGACUCUCGCAGCUCACUGGGCCAGCAUCGGUUUUGGCGGCCGGAAAAAACCUAGGGAAUGUGGCUCUGCGCCUCGGUGUAGAGUGUUAUAGCCCUGGGGAAUACGGCCAGCCGGGACCGAGGACUGCGAUACUUGUUAUCUAGGAUGCUGGCAUAAUGGUUAUAUGCCGCCCGUCUUG
rnacentral:rRNA from 1 species